GGAGAUGAAGAGGGACUCUACAAAUGAGUAAGAGUGAUUAAAUCUUGGAAACCAAGAGCUGAAUACAGAUCAAAGGAGAAAAAUCAGGGAAAGAGAAGUAGGAGAAAAAAGACAUCAACUGUACUCAGGUAUACGACAAAUCAUUGUAGAGAUUGUAUAUAUACUCCUAGUGGAUACAAGAAGAAAUACAGACUUGCUGCAAGAAAACUGAAGACUUGGAGGACUCGAUCAGGAUGUGCCAGAAUUUGCAGCAAUGGUAAAGAAAGUGUUAGUCCAUUCCUCCUUGAGCAUGACACUGAAGACCUUUCAGAUCUACCCUCACAGGAUCCAGCAUCUCCUCCUGGUCUCAUGGCAUCCUUGGAUCUUCCCAUUAUGCACCAUGACACUGGCAACUGCUCAGAAAAUUCUGCUGAAGCUACAGAAUUUGGUCUGACUUAUAGUGCUCCAUCUGGCCUCCUCAAAAUUCAAAAAGGAAGAUUAUUUGUUCUGGGUUACAGGCCCUUCUCUGGGGUACCUCAUGUUCGAGGCUCAAGAAGGGACAGCUCCGUGCAGCUUCCUGCCAUUGUAAGGGAGUCCCUGUGCUAUUUCUUCAGCAUCCAGGUGCUGAGAACCACAGAGGAGCUGUAG
rnacentral:lncRNA from 1 species